rnacentral:rRNA from 1 species
CACAACCUGGUUGAUCCUGCCAGUAGUCAUACGCUUGUCUCAAAGAUUAAGCCAUGCAUGUCUAAGUAUAAGUAUUAUACAGCGAAACUGCAAAUGGCUCAUUAAAACAGUUAUGGUUUAUUUGAUAAUCGAAUUUUACAUGGAUAACCGUGGUAAUUCUAGAGCUAAUACAUGCUGGUGUGCCUGACUUUUCGG